UGGUGGAGUGAUUUGUCUGGUUAAUUCCGAUAACGAACGAGACUCCGUCCUGCUAACUAGUCGCCUCGUUGCUUUUCGACUGCGAGGCGGGAUUCUUCUUAGAGGGACUGGCGGCAUCUAGCCGCACGAGAUGGAGCAAUAACA
rnacentral:rRNA from 1 species